GCCGUGAUGGUGUAACGGCAGCAUGCAUGUUUCGUCAAUCGUGCGGUACCGGUUCGAUUCCGGUUCAUGGCUCCA
rnacentral:tRNA from 2 species